GAUGAACGCUGGCGGCGUGCUUAACACAUGCAAGUCGAACGAUGAACCUCACAUGUGGGGGGUCUAGUGGCGGACGGGUGCGUAACACGAGCGUAACCUGCCCUUGCCUCUGGGAUAAGCAUGAGAAACGGGGUCUAAUACUGGAUACGACCUUCUGGCGCAUGCCAUGUUGGUGGUAGGCUAUUGUGGUUUUGGUUGGACUCGCGGCCUUUCAGCUGUUUGGUGGGGUAAUGGCCUAGCAAGGCGACGACGGGUAGCCGGCCUGCGAGGGGGACCGGCCAGACGCGGGCUGCGACCCGGUCCAGACGCCAGCGGGAGGCAGUAGUGGGGAAUAGGGCACAGUGGGCGGAAGCCUGGUCGAGCGAGGCCGCGUGGUGUACGAAGGCUUUCGGGUUGUAAACCGGUAACAGCAGGGAAGAAGCCGGCUAUGGGGUUGGUGACGGUACCUACAGAAAAAGCGCCGGCUAACUACGUG
rnacentral:rRNA from 1 species